rnacentral:lncRNA from 1 species
UCGUAUAGUAGGUGUUUUGUGCAACACCAGCCCCAAUAAGCGGUGGUUUGUGCAGUUCCCUCCCCACGUCAAAACCACCUCCUAGCGAUUCUAUAGGCUGCAAAAGGAAAAACCUACCAUACUCCUACCAGGGCGCACAACUCUCCUAGGUCAAACACGUCGGCGGAGAUGAUGGAGACAUAUGGCAGGCGCACCCGUGGAUUUCGAGGAUCCUGACUGGCCGGCCAUUGGGAAGGAACGAAGCGCACAAGAUCGAGCACCGAGCAAGGCGCUGCUGCUGCCCCUGCCGCCAUCCAUCAUCUGCCGCAGUGGGUCAUCGUUAGAAGGCUAGGGCAAAUCUCCCGCAUAUUCCUCUUUGCAAGAUACAAAAGUAAGAACGUUUUGCCAGCAACAAAAUUAUUUCCUGAUUGUUAAUCUGUUCUGGUGCCUCAUAUGUGUAUUUGUUCCCUUCAACCGUACAUCAGCUCUCCUCUCCCGUGAUUUUGUUGAUGAAUCCUAAAGCUUCUGCGAAAAUAUCAUCCUUAGCCUACCUAUCCAAUUUGCCAGGUAAAAAAUAGAACACCAUCUGUUUGGCGUGAUUCCCUCAAACAGGAAAGGAAAAAGAAAUAGAUCUAAACAGCGUCGAGUUACAAUGCUGCCGCUAGCAGCCGUACAUACCUAGAAUCGUAAGGAAGAGGAGCCACGUAUUCCUCUCCGUAAUCUGUCAGACUAUAUGGGGAUUGUGCAUCUCACCGACGGCAGCGACCUAAGUUUGCUUCUCCAGUUCCAAGAUCACAUCCGUCCAGGGCGGCAUUACGGAGGGUCCCUUUACUCGGUUCUGAUGAUAGACAGGCCAUAUACGUAAGCAAUUAGAUUCCCAAUCAGAUGUAUAAUGUUUUGCGCUCUUUAGUGUACAAGAGCAAUUAUUUCGUUUCAACCGAUGUACUUUGACCAUGGUUGGUCAUGGUGACCACUGGCUGCCUCCAUCUCUAUGGGAAAAAAGCUUUACAAAUUGGGAGGAGUUCACGCCAUGAAAAAGAAUACAUCAGAUGAAAAUAUAUAGGAGGAAUUUGUGGGAAAAUAAGAUGUAAGUUAUUCCCCAGAUAUAUGCUAGGUCUUCUUCCUUAUAAUUUGCUACUUCGCUACGUCCGGAAAAUUUGUAUGGGCUCUAUGUGAUGGAUGAUGCUUUGUAUAACAAUAACAUGCCUUUUAUAAUUUGACUUUGCUGCAUGUCUCCAUUAGAUUUAGUCUUUGUGUAUUGACCAUUGUCUAUUGAAAUAACAGUCAUUUUCAAUUAAUAGUGUUUUAGAUCUCCCAACAAAAUGUACAAUAUUUUAGAUAAUAAUUCUCAACAUUGUAGGCAUAAGAGUUUGAAUCAUUGCAGGGGCUCUAAAUCUUGAAGGAUCUAUUAUCUAUCUAUACCUCUACUAAUUAGACACUUCCUACAAAUUCCUAUGUUAAUUAGAAAAUAUUAACCGUUGAUUUUGUGGGACCGAAUUAUUGCGGUGUAGAUUAGCCCACAUAAUCAUGAAGAAAAAGAUUAAUCAUAGGGUCCACAAUCUUUUUAUGGUUGUAGAAAUAUAAACAAGUCUCGAUUCAGCCUUUCACGGGGCCCUCCCAUAUGGGAGCCCAAUAACAGACGUGGAGAAUCAAAACGGUUCGGUUCACUAGCAAUUUACCUACGUACGUUCCAAAAAACAAAAUACUAGCUGGUUAUGCAUUUUUUUCGAGAGUAUACAUAUUUUUCUAGAAAAAAGUUCUAUUUACACGUAGCAGUUGAUUUUGUGUCUCUGAAUUAUAAAUGUUCAGAUCUAAUCUAAAAUCAUUGUGGGUGCUCCACCUAAUUAAUUCCACGUUAUUACAUAAAGAGAGGAAAAAAUGUUUGCUUAGAGUCAUACAUAACCAAGACUCAAAAGUCUUGCAUCUCACGUAAAAAAAAGACAUGAGUCUUUCUUAAGUCGUAUUUGUCUAGGAGUCGUACAAGCAUAUUCUCCUUUGGAGACUCGUGGUGUUAAUUCUCUGUCAACGAUCCUCUCCACUCCUUACGCAGGCCAACCUACAAAAUCUACCCAGUAACCCACUCAAUACAUGAGGAUUCCGGCAAAGAGCAGAGGGUUCGACCAUGGCGGCCGCAACUCCAGAAAGUAGUUCAAUCUAAAUAAAGUCCAACAAGUAGUACAACCGUCAAUGGUGCUAUGUUUACACAUCAAUCCGGUGGCCUAGGUUAUUAUCUUUGUUUCUCAAUUAAAAUCUCUAUUGUUCUGGCAAGAAAAUCUCACAUGUUUUUCUGAUAUUAUUUUCUCUAUAUUCUCCUUUCCGUAUACACAGUAUUACAUGACAAGACAAUCAGUUAUCUACUUAAGUAAUUUGAUUGAUGGAGUCACGCAACGAUGUCGCGUAUAGACGGGAAGACUUAAUAAGUGACCCAUGCAUCCGACAGUAGAUACGUUCUGACACAUAAUUGGUCGUUUGUGACGGACGCAUGCAUGAGCAUUAUAUAGAUGGCGAUGAGCUAGGAAUCUAGGAUUUACUGCUGAGGGGUCUGCUGGGAUGAGGAUGUUUAAGCGGUACACAUAUUGUGUCUAAUUUGGUUAAACUGUAAUACACAUACAUACAGACUACUAAUCAAUGUCUUCUUAAUAUUUUUUCAGAUUGUUACUUACAUUGUGCGGUGACCAAGGACGAAUGCAUAGCAUAGUGAUGAUUGAUGCUUGAUAUGGUACCAAGUUAUCUAGCACCUUACGGGCUGGUAUUUUCGUUUUCCAAUCUCUAUCUAUGUCUUUCCAAUAAGACAAUCUGAUGUGCUUUGAUAUUAUUUUCUCCUUUUCUCUUUCCAAUAUAAAUAGUAUUAUAGGGCAACAAAGACAAGCAGCAAUCCAACUUCUAAGUAAUUUGAUGGAGUCACCGCAGCAAUGUCGUACACACGGGAAGACUCAAGACGUGUCACAUGUAUCUGACAGUAGGUACGUUCAAAUAGAAAACUCAGAGUUUACAAUGGAAGCAUGUGAGGCAUUAUAUGGCGAUGAACUAGACAUCACCGGCCAGGGGCCUGCCGGGAUGAGGUUGUCUAAGUCAUAAAUAUGUUGUAUCUUAUUUGGCUAUUAAAUACCAUUGUAAGUCUCCCACAAAAAAAAUAUACCACUGUAAGUCACAAACAUACAGGCUACUAAUCCAGGUCCCCUCAAUUUCUUUCCAGAUUUGUUACUUACACUUUGUCGCAAGCAAGGAAGAAUACAUAAAAUCUGGAUGAUCGAUGCUUGAUGACGUUCUGUGUUUGUAAAUAAUGUUAGAUACAGAAGAUAUUAGAUACAGAUAAAAUCAAAAUUAAAAGUUGUAUAAAGCCAAUGGUCAACACUUAUUCAGGCUUUCGAUUUUCAUAUGUACUCUGAACAGCUGAAAACUUGGGAGGAUAUAAAUGUAUGUCCAAAGAACAAUUACUACAAAAUGUAAAAUAUGCAGCGC